CACAUACCCGGGAAGAAAGCUGGAGCUGUCGCUCCUCUGCCAGCCCUCGUUGUGCCUUCCCUUUGUGCGAGCUCCCGCUAGCUAAGCAUGCAGCGAAGGAGGGAGGAUGCAAAGGCGGCCCGGGGGGAAUAAGCUCUCCCGCAUGCAGCCAGGUAGGGAACGGCCCUGUCCGAGGGGGCCCGGUGACACGGAGGCGGCUCUCACCUCCCCCCUCCCCAUGCGCUCACCUUCACGGUUUCUUCCGAGCCCUGAGAUAAAGCUACGGUUUGUCACCGUCCUCGGCAGCUAAAGAUCUCUGCACCCUCGAAGUCUGUGCAGCUCCUCAGUCAACUGAAACCACUCGUUCAAGACAGCAACAAUCCAGAUAUACUAGCAAGUCAUAAAACUGAACAAAAGCCGACAAACCUUAGAGCACCAUCGCUAUAUGGCCCAGACAAAUUACGACCGUCUAGGGGGAAUCGUUGUGUGCUUAUCCCGUGUUACCAACGGUAACGCUAUUUAUCGACAAAAAAAAAAAAAAAAAUCACUAAUUCCACAUCUUUAAGCAAAACUACGUUACGU